GCCCUGACAGCACAGAGAUGCCUCUGUAGAGAUGAAACUUGGCUCCCUUCUGGUCCUCUGGCCACCUGUAGAGGCAGUGGAGCUCCUGAGGGACAGAGAUGUGUGUUGAAGCGCCUUGUAACAUUUGGCUCUCACCUAACAAGAUUCUCAGACGCCUCCAUCCGCCCUAUUUUGAUCUCCACAUCCGUCUUUGAUUCACUUACUGCAUUCUGCAGCCUGGAAGCCAAGUUUGGAGAGCGAAGAAGACUAAACUGGACUGGGGACCCCAAAAUGCAGUGCAAUGUCUUCUUAGUCUGGCGUUAGCCCUAAAAGCCAACAAAGAGCUCAAUCUACCUAACAGCUAACGGCAGCCACUUUCAGGUUUAUCCUUUGAGGCUCGAAAUGGCUCUUCUUCCAGCAGGCUGUAAGUAAAGAGGUGGACGGAGGCUAAGCCAAUGAAACAGUUGCUGGUGUUUGUUGAGUGGCCCACGGCCAGGUAGUGGGUUAAGAGCGGAAUAUGUAUUGCCUUUUUAAUCUGCAAGGCAACUUUCUGUUGCAGAAACUUUCUUCUGGAUUAGGAAACUGAAGCACAAAAUAAAGAACUCAUUCAAGACCUUGGGCUGUACAGUGGGGCCGGGAUCUAUACCCAAGAUAAAGGGUUUGACAAUCCACACCUUAGCUACGUGAUCAAAUGACUCCCAACCUGCAGCCAAGGCAUCUACCACAUCAAAUAUUUACACUGUGAAGAUCACUGGGCAUAUGCCCUUGAGCAGGCUGACGUGGUAAAGAUUAGUCAGUCACAAUAACUCCCACCUUUGUGUAACUUAUAUAAUGUUCCUUCCUUCCAUUCCCUCUUUCUUUCCUGUCUUUAUGAGACACAAUUUAACUAUGUGGCCCAAGCUAACCUGAAACUUGCCGUGAAGCCCAGGCUAACCUAGAAUUUGCAAUUCUCCUGCCCCAGUCUGGAAAAUGCUGGUACCACAGAUGUGAACCACCACACUCGGCUCUCCUUUUAAUUUUAGGGAUAACUGAAACACAGAGGAAAAUAAGGACAGCAUUGAUACGG